GGGGAUGUAGCUCAGUGGUAGAGCGCAUGCUUUGCAUGUAUGAGGCCCCGGGUUCGAAACCCUGCAUCUCCA
rnacentral:tRNA from 1 species